rnacentral:rRNA from 1 species
AUGAAGUCUGACUUGCCAUCUGUCAAUACCCCGUCGUCGGCGAGGGAGCAUGGGUCGUGGCCGAAGGAGAUCAUGCAGACGGUAUCGAACGCGAAUCGCUCGAGCACGUCCUGCAUGUCGAGAACCUUGUGGCCGCCGCUGGCCCCCGCGCGUCGCAGCAACGGCAGCAGCCUAUUUCUGACCUCGGACUGCACGGAAUCGAUGACGAAACCGCGGAGCGAGUGCGUGGUGAACUCACGGCUGGCGCUCUUGCUCCCCGUCGGAGUUGAAGAUGCCGUGGCCGAGGAAGUCGCCCAUGACGGGGAUGGUGCUGUCGCCUUUGGGGUAGUUGGCGAAGUUGGUGCGCAGGACGUGCUCGACGUCGGCCGGGUUGCCCGUGAUGAUGCACGUGAUCAUCCCGGGGAUCCAGAAGCCCAUCCUCCGCUCCGGGCUGCCGACGAUGAGGUCGGUCGACCAGUCGAGGAAGCGGUGGCGGUUCUUGAGGAACGCAUGGAGGUGGCCGAGCAGCGGGUGGCUGGUGAGGCCAUGGCUGCUCGGCUUCUUCUUGGGCAGAGUACGCCGCACGAUGCGGUGGGAAAUGUAGAGUAUGGCAGGAAGCAGCAGGAGCAUCUUGUUCUUCUGAUGUUGAACUAUGGCUAUAUGAGUUGGAUGGAUCAGCUGGAUGGCACCUGGAUCCGUGCCGCCGAAUUUAUUAACCCUCGGUCCUCGGAAAUAUUCAAUUCGCUUUUUAUUAUACAUACAUAA